rnacentral:rRNA from 1 species
GACGAACGCUGGCGGCGUGCUUAACACAUGCAAGUCGAACGGAAAGGCCCUGCUUUUGUGGGGUGCUCGAGUGGCGAACGGGUGAGUAACACGUGAGUAACCUGCCCUUGACUUUGGGAUAACUUCAGGAAACUGGGGCUAAUACCGGAUAUGAGCUCCUGCUGCAUGGUGGGGGUUGGAAAGUUUCGGCGGUUGGGGAUGGACUCGCGGCUUAUCCGCUUGUUGGUGGGGUAGUGGCUUACCAAGGCUUUGACGGGUAGCCGGCCUGAGAGGGUGACCGGCGACAUUGGGACUGAGAUACGGCCCAGACUCCUACGGGAGGCAGCAGUGGGGAAUAUUGCACAAUGGGCGGAAGCCUGAUGCAGCAACGCCGCGUGCGGGAUGACGGCCUUCGGGUUGUAAACCGCUUUCGCCUGUGACGAAGCGUGAGUGACGGUAAUGGGUAAAGAAGCACCGGCUAACUACGUG